ACGAGCGGCGAACGGGUGAGUAACACGUGGGUGAUCUGCCCUGCACUUCGGGAUAAGCCUGGGAAACUGGGUCUAAUACCGGAUAUGACCAAAGGCUGCAUGGUUUUUGGUGGAAAGGUUUACUGGUGCAGGAUGGGCCCGCGGCCUAUCAGCUUGUUGGUGGGGUAAUGGCCUACCAAGGCGACGACGGGUAGCCGACCUGAGAGGGUGACCGGCCACACUGGGACUGAGACACGGCCCAG
rnacentral:rRNA from 1 species